UAAUUAGGAAAAUAAAAUGGUUUUCGUCAGUUUUAGAUCUGUCUUUAUUUAGUAUUAUAAUUUCAUAAUUUAUCUUUGACUUAAGGUACUAGCCAACUCUGGGAGUCGUUGACAUUACUUUUUUCUUGGACCUAUAAAAUGUUAAUUACAUAAUAAAUUCUGCUAAAAUAACACAAUCAUACUAAACUUAUUGUUUUCUAUGUACUUGUUGUUUUGCACUCGUUUUUAGGGUUCCGAACCUCAAAAGGUAAAACGGAACCUUUAUAGGAUCACUUUCUAGUUUUUAUUAGUUUAGUACAAUCAGUCGCACAACUUUUUUGAUUGCAUUAAUUCUACUUAUUUUAUCCAUUUGUCGAUAAAUACUGUAUAGACUUUGAUGAUUUUGUCGUAUAUUUUAUAGAUAAAUAACCCUCUAGUCGAAGGUACUGGAAUAAUAGAUGACGCGGAUUACCUACGUCUUCUAAUUUAAAGGAUGUUAGUGACACUGUAUUGAAAAAAAUAGAGCGUUUACUUGAUUUUACUGAAAAUGUUGCUUUGUGUUUUUGCUUUUCGGAAAUGUUUAAUUAAGAUAAGAGUUUUUUUUUGUGGCGCCGCGAUGUAAACCGAACAUCGGUAGACUACGUACGAAAGGUACCUACGUCAAUACAAUGUUUUUGUACAUUUAUUUAUUUAUUUAAUAAUAAACACACGUAACAGGUUACAGACACAAAUUUUAUGAAAUAAUACACUUUUUGAGGUUCAGACUGUAACCCAACUACACGUAUGCAAGUUAUAUAAUAAUACUAUGGUGAGAAAACACGACGCAAAUUAAAAGAUAUUACAAUAAAAUAUACUUAGCUCCGCAACAACAUGGUAACAAUUACGAUUCAUGGAUCUACGACCCAAUCUACAUUAAUUUUAUUAUAUUUUUUUAAAUCACAACAUGGGAAUAAUUAAAAUAAACACAAAAAAAAAUCAUGAAUUGUCAGGAAAUUCCACUUGAUAUCAACUCAGAAUCAUGUCUGAGAUGAUGAUCAUGGAUGAUUCAGACCAUCCUCCAAAGUUUUAGUUACGGUAUCCAUCCCCCAAAGUUUUUGUUACAGUGUCACUAACACCUUAGUGGUCGACGUUAUUAUCAAAGAUUAACUUGUCGAAGGUCAAUUUUACAAUUAUUUGUUUUUACAAUUUUUUUUUAAAUGAAGUUGUUACGGCUGUGGAGAACAAAUGCCAAGAAAAGUAUUAUUUCAGUAUUUAUAUUGGUUUCAUGAAUUGAUGUAUAACAUGUUACUAUGUGUCUUGGGUUUAUCGACGGGCGCUACACUGUGCAUUCCGCUCUCAAUUUGGGGUCCAAUUUAAAAAUUACCACAUUGUAUCGCCUUUGUAAGUAACUGGGGUUUUAAUUUUAAGCUAAUUUCAAAGGUUUAUUCAGAUGGAUUGGUAAUAAAUUAUUUUUAUGCGAAUGACAUCAAUUUUCUGCUUUUAUUUUUUUAUUUAACUUUUAGCUUUGGUUUUUUUUUGUUUGUAUUUUAGUGCCAAUGCUUCUAUUUGUGUAGAACUUAUGAUAGUGGUUUCAUUAUAGGGUGAUUUGACAAAAGAAUAGAAAAAGAGUACUUAUGUAAAACAGAUAUCAAGAAAAUAUAUUAUUCUGACAGCUGUCAAACAUAUCAUCUUAUUAUGAAAUGUCUAUAGUAGGUACUUUUUAGAAGCGUAGAGCCUGACUAAAAUAAACUGUGAUUAGUCUGAGUCGCUAAACACCGAAAAGGAUGUAAGACAGAAAUAGAAAAUCAAUGGUACCGAUGCUAGCGCAGAAAAGUUCAAUUAAUUUUGGCAGCAAAAAUAGUUCCGUCUCUUUCUUAAAAAAAAUAGAGAUAGAGAAAAAGAGAUAGAGAUAGUUUCGGAUCUGUCUGUCAAAGCACCAUCAAUUUGUAAAAGUUUCAUUUUUGAACUUUGAAAAGACGCACUGUUCGUCAAAAACCCUUUCGUAUGAACACAAUUUUUAUGUGUUACCUCACUAAAAAAAUACUUCUUUAUAUUAUUUAUCACCAAGGCGAGGGUUUUAUUCUAGUCAGGCUCUGUAAUUAAGUUACCCUAAGUAGUGAGAGUUUACAACGAUGUUAACAUAGCCAUUGUACUUAUACCGUGAAUAUAGUUUUGCAGUAAA